CGAACGCUGGCGGCAGGCCUAACACAUGCACGUCGAACGAACUCUUCGGAGUUAGUGGCGGACGGGUGAGUAACACGUGGGAACGUGCCUUUUGGUUCGGAAUAACUCAGGGAAACUUGUGCUAAUACCGAAUGUGCCCUUCGGGGGAAAGAUUUAUCGCCAUUAGAGCGGCCCGCGUCUGAUUAGCUAGUUGGUGAGGUAACGGCUCACCAAGGCGACGAUCAGUAGCUGGUCUGAGAGGAUGACCAGCCACACUGGGACUGAGACACGGCCCAGACUCCUACGGGAGGCAGCAGUGGGGAAUCUUGCGCAAUGGGCGAAAGCCUGACGCAGCCAUGCCGCGUGAAUGAUGAAGGUCUUAGGAUUGUAAAAUUCUUUCACCGGGGACGAUAAUGACGGUACCCGGAGAAGAAGCCCCGGCUAACUUCGUG
rnacentral:rRNA from 1 species